rnacentral:rRNA from 1 species
GCCCGUCGCUCCUACCGAUUGGAUGACUCGGUGAAAUCACCGGAUGCUUACGAGCAGAAAGUGAUUAAAUCACGUUAUCUAGAGGAAGGAGAAGUCGUAACAAGGUAACGGUAGGUGAACCUGCCGUUGGAUCAGUUCUAGUUUUAAUAACUAACACCAACUUCUUUUUAUUAAACAAAAACCAAUACAAAAUUAAAAACUAACUUCAUCAAAAACCAAGUCUCUAAGCAAUGGAUGUCUUGGCUCCUCACACGAUGAAGAACGGGCAU